GUUGAUCCUGCCGGAGGCCAUUGCUAUCGGAGUCCGAUUUAGCCAUGCUAGUCGCGCGGGUUCAGACCCGCGGCAUAUAGCUCAGUAACACGUGGCCAAACUACCCUAUGGACAGGGACAACCUCGGGAAACUGAGGCUAAUCCCUGAUACCACUCUCAUGCUGGAGUGCAGAGAGUGAGAAACGCCCCGGCGCCAUAGGAUGUGGCUGCGGCCGAUUAGGUAGAUGGUGGGGUAACGGCCCACCAUGCCCAUAAUCGGUACAGGUUGUGAGAGCAAGAGCCUGGAGACGGUAUCUGAGACAAGAUACCGGGCCCUACGGGGCGCAGCAGGCGCGAAACCUUUACACUGCACGAGAGUGCGAUAGGGGGACUCCGAGUGCGAGGGCAUAUAGUCCUCGCUUUUCUGUACCGUAAGGUGGUACAGGAACAAGUGCUGGGCAAGACCGGUGCCAGCCGCCGCGGUAAUACCGGCAGCACGAGUGAUGGCCGAUAUUAUUGGGCCUAAAGCGUCCGUAGCUUGCUGUGCAAGUCCAUUGGGAAAUCCACGCGCUCAACGCGUGGGCGCCCGGUGGAAACUGCACGGCUUGGGGCCGAGAGACUCGACGGGUACGUCCGGGGUAGGAGUGAAAUCCUGUAAUCCUGGACGGACCACCAAUGGGGAAACCACGUCGAGAGACCGGACCCAACAGUGAGGGACGAAAGCUAGGGUCUCGACCGGAUUAGAUACCCGGGUAGUCCUAGCCGUAAACAA
rnacentral:rRNA from 1 species